GGACGAACGCUGGCGGCGUGCUUAACACAUGCAAGUCGAACGGAAAGGCCCUGCUUUUGUGGGGUGCUCGAGUGGCGAACGGGUGAGUAACACGUGAGUAACCUGCCCUUGACUUUGGGAUAACUUCAGGAAACUGGGGCUAAUACCGGAUAGGAGCUCCUGCUGCAUGGUGGGGGUUGGAAAGUUUCGGCGGUUGGGGAUGGACUCGCGGCUUAUCAGCUUGUUGGUGGGGUAGUGGCUUACCAAGGCUUUGACGGGUAGCCGGCCUGAGAGGGUGACCGGCCACAUUGGGACUGAGAUACGGCCCAGACUCCUACGGGAGGCAGCAGUGGGGAAUACUGCACAAUGGGCGGAAGCCUGAUGCAGCAACGCCGCGUGCGGGAUGACGGCCUUCGGGUUGUAAACCGCUUUCGCCUGUGACGAAGCGUGAGUGACGGUAAUGGGUAAAGAAGCACCGGCUAACUACGUG
rnacentral:rRNA from 1 species